CGGAGAGAUAGCAUGGAGGUAAGGCAUUUGCCUUUCAUGCAGGAGGUCAUCGGUUCGAAUCCCGGCACCCAUAUGGUCCCCCGAGCCUGCCAGGAGCGA